rnacentral:rRNA from 1 species
CACGCUGUAAACGAUGGAUGCUAGCUGUUAGGAGUAUCGACCCUUCUAGUAGCGAAGCUAACGCGUUAAGCAUCCCGCCUGGGGAGUACGAACGCAAGUUUAAAACUCAAAGGAAUUGACGGGGACCCGCACAAGUGGUGGAGCGUGUUCUUUAAUUCGACGUUAAGCGAAGAACCUUACCAGGGCUUGACAUCCUUGGAAUCUCUGCGAAAGCAGAGAGUGCCUUCGGGAGCCAAGUGACAGGUGU